UGAUGGUGCUGUGUCUACACAAAAAUCUCAAAAUAUGAGUAAAAAAUUUAUGACCGACAGUGAAGAAGAGGAUGCGGAUUUUUCCGCCAGUGAAGAUGAAUGGCUACCGGAAAAUGACAAACCCGGACGCGGUUCAAAGACGGCUUUGGGGAAAGGAUCAUCUUCCGGUGCGUCCGAAUCAGAUGAUGGUGAAAGCGACGAAGGUGGCGAACCGAAGGGUGGUGGAAGACGCUCCCAAGCGCAAAAGGGGCAGGCGACAGAUGCCAGGAAAUCACGCGCUCCACCAAAACCGAAACUAUCAACAUCGGAGCGUAAGAAAUUGUACGAAAAGUAUCGCCCCUCAGCUGGC